rnacentral:rRNA from 1 species
AGGGAAUCUUCCACAAUGGGCGAAAGCCUGAUGGAGCAACGCCGCGUGAGUGAAGAAGGAUUUCGGUUCGUAAAACUCUGUUGUAAGGGAAGAACAAGUACAGUAGUAACUGGCUGUACCUUGACGGUACCUUAUUAGAAAGCCACGGCUAACUACGUGCCAGCAGCCGCGGUAAUACGUAGGUGGCAAGCGUUGUCCGGAAUUAUUGGGCGUAAAGCGCGCGCAGGUGGUUUCUUAAGUCUGAUGUGAAAGCCCACGGCUCAACCGGUGACAUGCAUUUGAAACUGAAAGACUUGAGUAUUGGAGAGGCAAGUGGAAUUCCUAGUGUAGCGGUGAAAUGCGUAGAUAUUAGGAGGAACGCCGGUGGCGAAGGCGGCUUGCUGGACAAAUACUGACGCUGAGGUGCGAAAGCGUGUGGAGCAAACA